rnacentral:lncRNA from 1 species
UGUGAAAUAAGAUUCAAUCUUUUUGAUACUUCAUUUGCAAUGCUAUAUAAAUUAAAUGUCAAAAUAUUCAGAAACUGUGCGUACUAUGAUUGCAUAAAUCAAAUUUGUGCACCCAUCAAAUUGUUAAACGUUUACUUACAAUUUAUUUGGUUUAUAUACAGUUUAUAUAUUCAUUUAUAUAUAUAAAAUAGACAUUCAUAUCGGAACCG